rnacentral:rRNA from 1 species
AGUGAACGCUGGCGGUAGGCCUAACACAUGCAAGUCGAACGGCAGCACAGUAAGAUCUUGCUCUUACGGGUGGCGAGUGGCGGACGGGUUAGGAAUACAUCGGAAUCUACUUUUUCGUGGGUGAUAACGUAGGGAAACUUACGCUAAUACCGCAUACGACCUACGGGUGAAAGCAGGGGAUCUUCGGACCUUGCGCGAUUGAAUGAGCCGAUGUCGGAUUAGCUAGUUGGCGGGGUAAAGGCCCACCAAGGCGACGAUCCGUAGCUGGUCUGAGAGGAUGGUCAGGCACACUGGAACUGAGAAACGGUCCAGACUCCUACGGGAGGCAGCAGUGGGGAAUAUUGGACAAUGGGCGAAAGCCUGAUCCAGCCAUACCGCGUGGGUGCAGAAGGACUUAGGGUUGUAAAGCCAUGUUGUUGGGAAAGAAAAGCAGCAGGUUAAUACCCCGCUGUUCUGACGGUACCCAAAGAAUAAGCACCGGCUAACUUCGUG